AGUGAACGCUGGCGGUAGGCCUAACACAUGCAAGUCGAACGGCAGCACAGUAAGAGCUUGCUCUUACGGGUGGCGAGUGGCGGACGGGUGAGGAAUACAUCGGAAUCUACUUUUUCGUGGGGGAUAACGUAGGGAAACUUACGCUAAUACCGCAUACGACCUACGGGUGAAAGCAGGGGAUCUUCGGACCUUGCGCGAUUGAAUGAGCCGAUGUCGGAUUAGCUAGUUGGCGGGGUAAAGGCCCACCAAGGCGACGAUCCGUAGCUGGUCUGAGAGGAUGAUCAGCCACACUGGAACUGAGACACGGUCCAGACUCCUACGGGAGGCAGCAGUGGGGAAUAUUGGACAAUGGGCGCAAGCCUGAUCCAGCCAUACCGCGUGGGUGAAGAAGGCCUUCGGGUUGUAAAGCCUUUUUGUUGGGAAAGAAAAGCAGCAGGUUAAUACCCCGCUGUUCUGACGGUACCCAAAAAAUAAGCACCGGCUAACUUCGUG
rnacentral:rRNA from 1 species